CUUUUUUUGCUGCACACAGACCUCCACCACCCACCUCACACCCAGGCAAUCCACAAGCUGAAGGAAACUGAGGCAUCAAGCCUUCUCCCCUCCAGAACAAGCAGUGAUUCGCCAACUCAAGAGAGCCCAGCUGGUAGGUGGCCAAGCCACCACAGCCACGAGGGACCCAAACAGCCAUCCAGGACAUUGCUCAGCACAGCUGGGACAUGAGCAACAUGGAGACACUGCCAAAAAUGGGGCGAUGCGGAGGAGCAGCAGGAAAGCUCUCUCACAGUGGAGCAUCAUUUCAAGCAAUACCCG
rnacentral:lncRNA from 1 species